rnacentral:rRNA from 1 species
GACGAACGCUGGCGGCGUGCUUAACACAUGCAAGUCGAACGGUAAGGUCCUUCGGGGUACACGAGUGGCGAACGGGUGAGUAACACGUGGGUGAUCUGCCCUGCACUUCGGGAUAAGCCUGGGAAACUGGGUCUAAUACCGGAUAGGACCACUGCCUGCAUGGGUGGUGGUGGAAAGCUUUUGCGGUGUGGGAUGGGCCCGCGGGCUAUCAGGUGGUUGGUGGGGUGAUGGCCUACCAAGGCGACGAGGGGUAGCCGUCCUGAGAGGGUGACCGGACACAAUGGGACUGCGAUACGGACCAGACUGCUAGGGGAGGCAGCUGUCGGGAGUAUUGCACAAUGAGCGCAAGUCUGAUGCGGCGGCGUCGCGUGAGUGAUGACGGCCUGCGGGUUAUAAACCUCGUUGAGCACCGACGUAGCGCAAGUGACGGUAGGUGCAGAAGAAGGACCGGCCAACUACGUGCCAGCCGCCGCCGUAA